GGACGGGUGAGUAACGCGUGGGUAACCUGCCUCAUACAGGGGGAUAACAGUUGGAAACGACUGCUAAUACCGCAUAAGCGCACAGGAUUGCAUGAUCCGGUGUGAAAAACUCCGGUGGUAUGAGAUGGACCCGCGUCUGAUUAGCCAGUUGGCAGGGUAACGGCCUACCAAAGCGACGAUCAGUAGCCGACCUGAGAGGGUGACCGGCCACAUUGGGACUGAGACACGGCCCAAACUCCUACGGGAGGCAGCAUG
rnacentral:rRNA from 1 species